AUACGUAGGUGGCAAGCGUUGUCCGGAAUUAUUGGGCGUAAAGCGCGCGCAGGCGGUCCUUUAAGUCUGAUGUGAAAGCCCACGGCUCAACCGUGGAGGGUCAUUGGAAAAUGGGGGACUUGAGUGCAGAAGAGGAAAGAGGAAUUCCAAGUGUAGCAGUGAAAUGCGUAGAGAUUUGGAGGAACACCAGUGGCGAAGGCGCCUUUCUGGGUUGUAACUGACUCUGAGGAGCGAAAGCGUGGGGAGCAAACAGGAUUAUAUACCCUGGUAGUCCACGCCGUAAACGAUGAGUGCUAAGUGUUAGGGGGUUUCCGCCCCUUAGUGCUGCAGCUAACGAAUUAAGAACUACGCCUGGGGAGUACGGUCGCAAGACUGAAACUCAAAUGAAUUGACGGU
rnacentral:rRNA from 1 species